UUAAGUUAUUAAGGGCGCACGGUGGAUGCCUUGGCACUAGAAGCCGAUGAAGGACGUUACUAACGACGAUAUGCUUUGGGGAGCUGUAAGUAAGCUUUGAUCCAGAGAUUUCCGAAUGGGGAAACCCAGCAUGAGUUAUGUCAUGUUAUCGAUAUGUGAAUACAUAGCAUAUCAGAAGGCAUACCCGGAGAACUGAAACAUCUUAGUACCCGGAGGAAGAGAAAGAAAAUUCGAUUCCCUUAGUAGCGGCGAGCGAAACGGGAAGAGCCCAAACCAACAAGCUUGCUUGUUGGGGUUGUAGGACACUCUAUACGGAGUUACAAAGGACGACAUUAGACGAAUCAUCUGGAAAGAUGAAUCAAAGAAGGUAAUAAUCCUGUAGUCGAAAAUGUUGUCUCUCUUGAGUGGAUCCUGAGUACGACGGAGCACGUGAAAUUCCGUCGGAAUCUGGGAGGACCAUCUCCUAAGGCUAAAUACUCUCUAGUGACCGAUAGUGAACCAGUACCGUGAGGGAAAGGUGAAAAGCACCCCGGAAGGGGAGUGAAAUAGAACCUGAAACCGUGUGCUUACAAGUAGUCAGAGCCCGUUAAUGGGUGAUGGCGUGCCUUUUGUAGAAUGAACCGGCGAGUUACGAUUUGAUGCAAGGUUAAGCAGUAAAUGUGGAGCCGUAGCGAAAGCGAGUCUGAAUAGGGCGUUUAGUAUUUGGUCGUAGACCCGAAACCAGGUGAUCUACCCUUGGUCAGGUUGAAGUUCAGGUAACACUGAAUGGAGGACCGAACCGACUUACGUUGAAAAGUGAGCGGAUGAACUGAGGGUAGCGGAGAAAUUCCAAUCGAACCUGGAGAUAGCUGGUUCUCUCCGAAAUAGCUUUAGGGCUAGCCUCAAGUGAUGAUUAUUGGAGGUAGAGCACUGUUUGGACGAGGGGCCCCUCUCGGGUUACCGAAUUCAGACAAACUCCGAAUGCCAAUUAAUUUAACUUGGGAGUCAGAACAUGGGUGAUAAGGUCCGUGUUCGAAAGGGAAACAGCCCAGACCACCAGCUAAGGUCCCAAAAUAUAUGUUAAGUGGAAAAGGAUGUGGCGUUGCCCAGACAACUAGGAUGUUGGCUUAGAAGCAGCCAUCAUUUAAAGAGUGCGUAAUAGCUCACUAGUCGAGUGACACUGCGCCGAAAAUGUACCGGGGCUAAACAUAUUACCGAAGCUGUGGAUUGUCCUUUGGACAAUGGUAGGAGAGCGUUCUAAGGGCGUUGAAGCAUGAUCGUAAGGACAUGUGGAGCGCUUAGAAGUGAGAAUGCCGGUGUGAGUAGCGAAAGACGGGUGAGAAUCCCGUCCACCGAUUGACUAAGGUUUCCAGAGGAAGGCUCGUCCGCUCUGGGUUAGUCGGGUCCUAAGCUGAGGCCGACAGGCGUAGGCGAUGGAUAACAGGUUGAUAUUCCUGUACCACCUAUAAUCGUUUUAAUCGAUGGGGGGACGCAGUAGGAUAGGCGAAGCGUGCGAUUGGAUUGCACGUCUAAGCAGUAAGGCUGAGUAUUAGGCAAAUCCGGUACUCGUUAAGGCUGAGCUGUGAUGGGGAGAAGACAUUGUGUCUUCGAGUCGUUGAUUUCACACUGCCGAGAAAAGCCUCUAGAUAGAAAAUAGGUGCCCGUACCGCAAACCGACACAGGUAGUCAAGAUGAGAAUUCUAAGGUGAGCGAGCGAACUCUCGUUAAGGAACUCGGCAAAAUGACCCCGUAACUUCGGGAGAAGGGGUGCUCUUUAGGGUUAACGCCCAGAAGAGCCGCAGUGAAUAGGCCCAAGCGACUGUUUAUCAAAAACACAGGUCUCUGCUAAACCGUAAGGUGAUGUAUAGGGGCUGACGCCUGCCCGGUGCUGGAAGGUUAAGAGGAGUGGUUAGCUUCUGCGAAGCUACGAAUCGAAGCCCCAGUAAACGGCGGCCGUAACUAUAACGGUCCUAAGGUAGCGAAAUUCCUUGUCGGGUAAGUUCCGACCCGCACGAAAGGCGUAACGAUUUGGGCACUGUCUCAACGAGAGACUCGGUGAAAUCAUAGUACCUGUGAAGAUGCAGGUUACCCGCGACAGGACGGAAAGACCCCGUGGAGCUUUACUGUAGCCUGAUAUUGAAAUUCGGCACAGCUUGUACAGGAUAGGUAGGAGCCUUUGAAACGUGAGCGCUAGCUUACGUGGAGGCGCUGGUGGGAUACUACCCUAGCUGUGUUGGNNNNNNNUUUCUAACCCGCACCACUUAUCGUGGUGGGAGACAGUGUCAGGCGGGCAGUUUGACUGGGGCGGUCGCCUCCUAAAAGGUAACGGAGGCGCUCAAAGGUUCCCUCAGAAUGGUUGGAAAUCAUUCAUAGAGUGUAAAGGCAUAAGGGAGCUUGACUGCGAGACCUACAAGUCGAGCAGGGUCGAAAGACGGACUUAGUGAUCCGGUGGUUCCGCAUGGAAGGGCCAUCGCUCAACGGAUAAAAGCUACCCCGGGGAUAACAGGCUUAUCUCCCCCAAGAGUUCACAUCGACGGGGAGGUUUGGCACCUCGAUGUCGGCUCAUCGCAUCCUGGGGCUGUAGUCGGUCCCAAGGGUUGGGCUGUUCGCCCAUUAAAGCGGUACGCGAGCUGGGUUCAGAACGUCGUGAGACAGUUCGGUCCCUAUCCGUCGUGGGCGUAGGAAAUUUGAGAGGAGCUGUCCUUAGUACGAGAGGACCGGGAUGGACAUACCUCUGGUGUACCAGUUGUCGUGCCAACGGCAUAGCUGGGUAGCUAUGUGUGGACGGGAUAAGUGCUGAAAGCAUCUAAGCAUGAAGCCCCCCUCAAGAUGAGAUUUCCCAACUUCGGUUAUAAGAUCCCUCAAAGAUGAUGAGGUUAAUAGGUUCGAGGUGGAAGCAUGGUGACAUGUGGAGCUGACGAAUACUAAUCGAUCGAAGACUUAAUCAA
rnacentral:rRNA from 1 species